AUCCAACUGACGAGUCCCAGAUAGGACGAACCGCGUGUCUCGGAU
rnacentral:hammerhead_ribozyme from 1 species